UCCCCCUUAGCUCAGUUGGUUAGAGCGACGGACUGUUAAUCCGCCCGCAGGUCCCCCGUUCGAGUCGGGGAGGGGGAGCCA
rnacentral:tRNA from 1 species